UCCUUCCUGUUAAAGCACCAGGCUCAAAUUGUAGAACUAGAUUUAGUCUAGUUCUGCAAUAAUGCUAGCUCUGGUGCACGCAGGAAGGAGAGUAAAACGCAUAGUCAUCAAAAUGAGAUGAGGACGGACCUCUUUCUUAAUGUUCAUUGUCUUUCAUUUCUUGAUGCAGUGCAACACUU